rnacentral:rRNA from 1 species
CUGGGGAACUGAAACAUCUAAGUACCCAGAGGAAAGGACAUCAACCGAGACUCCGUUAGUAGUGGCGAGCGAACGCGGACCAGGCCAGUGGCUUAUUUUAAUAAACCGGAACCAUCUGGAAAGUUGGGCAAGAAUGGGUGAUAGCCCCGUACGGAUAACAUUGAGAUAAGUCCUCGAGUAGGGCGGAACACGUGAAAUUCUGUCUGAACAUGGGGGGACCACCCUCCAAGCCUAAAUACUCGUAUGUGACCGAUAGUGAACAAGUACCGUGAGGGAAAGGUGAAAAGCACCCCGACAAGGGGAGUGAAAGAGUUCCUGAAACCGGAUGCUUACAAACAGUUGGAGGGCGCAGGCCUGACAGCGUACCUUUUGUAUAAUGGGUCAGCGACUUAUGUUCAGUGGCGAGGUUAACCGUUUAGGGGAGCCGUAGGGAAACCGAGUCUUA